GAUGAAGAAUGUAGCGAAAUGCGAUACGUGAUGUGAAUUGCAGAAUUCAGUGAAUCAUCGAGUCUUUGAACGCACAUUGCGCCCCCUGGUAUUCCGGGGGGCAUGCCUGUCCGAGCGUCAUUGCUGCCCUCAAGCACGGCUUGUGUGUUGGGCCUCCGUCCUCCUCCCGGGGGACGGGCCCGAAAGGCAGCGGCGGCACCGCGUCCGGUCCUCGAGCGUAUGGGGCUUCGUCACCCGCUCUUGUAGGCCCGGCCGGCGCUUGCCGACACAUCAAUCUUUUUUCCAGGUUGACCUCGGAUCAGGUAGGGAUACCCGCUGAACUUAAGCAUAUCAAUAAGCGGAGGA
rnacentral:misc_RNA from 1 species